rnacentral:rRNA from 1 species
ACGGGGGGUGCAAGCGUUGUUCGGAAUUAUUGGGCGUAAAGAGCGUGUAGGCGGCUGAAUAAGUCAGAUGUGAAAUCCCUGGGCUUAACUCAGGAAGUGCAUUUGAAACUAUUCAGCUCGAGUAGGGGAGAGGAAAGUGGAAUUCCUGGUGUAGAGGUGAAAUUCGUAGAUAUCAGGAGGAACACCGGUGGCGAAGGCGGUUUCCUGGGCUGAUACUGACACUGAGGCGCGAAAGCGUGGGGAGCAAACAG